rnacentral:piRNA from 1 species
UACUCCGUUCUUUGUAGCUGGGGAUGU